AUUCCGGUUGAUCCUGCCGGAGGCUAUUGCUAUCGGGGUCCGAUUCAGCCAUGCUAGUUGUACGGGUUUAGGCCCGUAGCAAAUAGCUCCGUAACACGUGGUCAAACUACCCUCUGGACCGGGAUAUCCUCGGGAAACUGAGGUCGAUCCCAGAUACUGCUUUCAUGUUGGAACACAGAAAGUCGGAAACGGUCCGCCGCCGGAGGACGUGACUGCGGCCGAUUAGGUAGACGGUGGGGUAACGGCCCACCGUGCCGAUAAUCGGUACGGGUUGUGAGAGCAAGAACCCGGAGACGGUAUCUGAGACAAGAUACCGGGCCCUACGGGGCGCAGCAGGCGCGAAACCUUUACACUGCACGCCAGUGCGAUAAGGGGACCCCGAGUGCGAGGGCAUACAGUCCUCGCUUUUCGUGACCGUAAGAAGGUCUCAGAAUAAGAGCUGGGCAAGACCGGUGCCAGCCCGCCGCGGUAAAACCGGCAGCUCGAGUGAUAGCCACUNUUAUUGGGCCUAAAGCGUCCGUAGCCGGCCGAACAGGUCCGUCGGGAAAUCCACCCGCUCAACGGGUGGACGUCCGGCGGAAACCAGUCGGCUUGGGGCCGGGAGACCAGAGAGGUACGUCCGGGGUAGGAGUGAAAUCCUGUAAUCCUGGACGGACCGCCGGUAGCGAAAGCGUCUCUGGAGAACGGACCCGACGGUGAGGGACGAAAGCUUGGGUCUCGAACCGGAUUAGAUACCCGGGUAGUCCAAGCUGUAAACGAUGCUCGCUAGGUGUGGCGUUGGCUACGAGCCAGCGCUGUGCUGUAGGGAAGCCGAGAAGCGAGCCGCCUGGGAAGUACGUCCGCAAGGAUGAAACUUAAAGGAAUUGGCGGGGGAGCACUACAACCGGAGGAGCCUGCGGUUUAAUUGGACUCAACGCCGGACAUCUCACCGGCACCGACAGUGUGCAGUGACAGUCAGUCUGAUGGGCUUACUUGAGCCACUGAGAGGAGGUGCAUGGCCGCCGUCAGCUCGUACCGUGAGGCGUCCUGUUAAGUCAGGCAACGAGCGAGACCCGCGUCCCUAAUUGCCAGCAGCAGCCUUGUGCUGGCUGGGUACAUUAGGGAGACUGCCGUCGCAAAGACGGAGGAAGGAACGGGCAACGGUAGGUCAGUAUGCCCCGAAUGUGCCGGGCGACACGCGGGCUACAAUGGCCGAGACAGUGGGACGCUACCCCGAGAGGGGGCGCUAAUCUCCUAACCUCGGUCGUAGUUCGGAUUGCGGGUUGAAACCCACCCGCAUGAAGCUGGAUUCGGUAGUAAUCGCAUUUCAGAAGAGUGCGGUGAAUACGUCCCUGCUCCUUGCACACACCGCCCGUCAAAUCACCCGAGUGAGGUCCGGAUGAGGCCGGCGCAACGCCGGUCGAAUCUGGGCUUCGCAAGGGGGAUUAAGUCGUAACAAGGUAGCCGUAGGGGAAUCUGCGGCUUGGAUCACCUCCU
rfam:Halococcus qingdaogense 16S ribosomal RNA gene, complete sequence.